rnacentral:rRNA from 1 species
UACGUAGGGGGCAAGCGUUGUCCGGAAUCAUUGGGCGUAAAGCGCGUGUAGGCGGCCAGGUAAGUCCGUUCUGAAAGCCCGGGGCUCAACCCCGGGAGGCGGAUGGAUACUGCUUGGCUCGAGUCCGGAAGAGGCGAGUGGAAUUCCUGGUGUAGCGGUGAAAUGCGCAGAUAUCGGGAAGGAACACCGGUGGCGAAGGCGGUUCUCUGGGCCUUACCUGACGCUGA